rnacentral:misc_RNA from 1 species
GAUGAAGAACGCAGCGAAAUGCGAUAAGUAGUGUGAAUUGCAGAAUUCAGUGAAUCAUCGAAUCUUUGAACGCACAUUGCGCCCUUCGGUAUUCCUUAGGGCAUGCCUGUUCGAGCGUCAUUUAAACCUUCAAGCUCAGCUUGGUGUUGGGUGACUGUCCGCUUCACCGCGGACUCGCCUCAAAAUUAUUGGCGGCCGGUACAUUGGCUUCGAGCGCAGCAGAAACGCGAACUCGGGCCCGUCGUAUUGGCUCCCAGAAGCUAUCUUCACAAUUUUGACCUCGGAUCAGGUAGGGAUACCCGCUGAACUUAAGCAUAUCAAUAAGCGGAGGA